UACGUAGGCAGCGAGCGUUGUUCGGAAUUACUGGGCGUAAAGAGUGCGUAGGCGGUGCUCUAAGUUCGGUGUGAAAUCUCCUGGCUCAACUGGGAGGGUGCGCCGGAAACUGGAGUGCUUGAGCGUGGGAGAGGAAAGCGGAAUUCCUGGUGUAGCGGUGAAAUGCGUAGAGAUCGGCAGGAACACCCAGGGGGAAACCAGGCGACUGGGCAUCUACUGACGCUGAGGUGCGAGAGCGUGGGGAGCGAACCGG
rnacentral:rRNA from 1 species